rnacentral:rRNA from 1 species
AUGAACGCUAGCUACAGGCUUAACACAUGCAAGUCGAGGGGCAGCAGGAUCUAGCAAUAGAUUGCUGGCGACCGGCGCACGGGUGAGUAACACGUAUCCAACCUGCCGAUAACUCGGGGAUAGCCUUUCGAAAGAAAGAUUAAUACCCGAUGGUAUAAUCAGACCGCAUGGUCUUGUUAUUAAAGAAUUUCGGUUAUCGAUGGGGAUGCGUUCCAUUAGGCAGUUGGUGGGGUAACGGCUCACCAAACCUUCGAUGGAUAGGGGUUCUGAGAGGAAGGUCCCCCACAUUGGAACUGAGACACGGUCCAAACUCCUACGGGAGGCAGCAGUGAGGAAUAUUGGUCAAUGGGCGCAGGCCUGAACCAGCCAAGUAGCGUGAAGGAUGACUGCCCUAUGGGUUGUAAACUUCUUUUAUAUGGGAAUAAAGUUUUCCACGUGUGGAAUUUUGUAUGUACCAUAUGAAUAAGGAUCGGCUAACUCCGUGCCAGCAGCCGCGGUAAUACGGAGGAUCCGAGCGUUAUCCGGAUUUAUUGGGUUUAAAGGGAGCGUAGGUGGACAGUUAAGUCAGUUGUGAAAGUUUGCGGCUCAACCGUAAAAUUGCAGUUGAUACUGGCUGUCUUGAGUACAGUAGAGGUGGGCGGAAUUCGUGGUGUAGCGGUGAAAUGCUUAGAUAUCACGAAGAACUCCGAUUGCGAAGGCAGCUCACUGGACUGCAACUGACACUGAUGCUCGAAAGUGUGGGUAUCAAACAGGAUUAGAUACCCUGGUAGUCCACACAGUAAACGAUGAAUACUCGCUGUUUGCGAUAUACAGUAAGCGGCCAAGCGAAAGCAUUAAGUAUUCCACCUGGGGAGUACGCCGGCAACGGUGAAACUCAAAGGAAUUGACGGGGGCCCGCACAAGCGGAGGAACAUGUGGUUUAAUUCGAUGAUACGCGAGGAACCUUACCCGGGCUUAAAUUGCAUUUGAAUAUAUUGGAAACAGUAUAGCCGUAAGGCAAAUGUGAAGGUGCUGCAUGGUUGUCGUCAGCUCGUGCCGUGAGGUGUCGGCUUAAGUGCCAUAACGAGCGCAACCCUUAUCUUUAGUUACUAACAGGUCAUGCUGAGGACUCUAGAGAGACUGCCGUCGUAAGAUGUGAGGAAGGUGGGGAUGACGUCAAAUCAGCACGGCCCUUACGUCCGGGGCUACACACGUGUUACAAUGGGGGGUACAGAAGGCAGCUACCUGGUGACAGGAUGCUAAUCCCAAAAGCCUCUCUCAGUUCGGAUCGAAGUCUGCAACCCGACUUCGUGAAGCUGGAUUCGCUAGUAAUCGCGCAUCAGCCAUGGCGCGGUGAAUACGUUCCCGGGCCUUGUACACACCGCCCGUCAAGCCAUGAAAGCCGGGGGUACCUGAAGUACGUAACCGCAAGGAGCGUCCUAGGGUAAAACUGGUAAUUGGGGCU